CACACUCUAAUAUCUCCUUUUUGUAGAUCUCACAUUUUACUUUUUGUUUUAUUUUAGUAUAUCAGGUUGCCUUGGAAGUGAGUCUCUGCUAAACUACUCUUCUUCGGGCUGAAAGAUCUGAAUGCUGUGACCAUUAAUUUGUUGAACCAAGACUCUGAGGCUGAUAUGCAAUGUCACUUACAACAUUAAUCAGAUACUGCAUUUAAGGUGAGCUGUCCCUUGCCUCCUCCUU
rnacentral:lncRNA from 1 species